rnacentral:rRNA from 1 species
UACGGAGGGGGCUAGCGUUGUUCGGAAUUACUGGGCGUAAAGCGCACGUAGGCGGCUUUGUAAGUUAGAGGUGAAAGCCCAGGGCUCAACCCUGGAAUUGCCUUUAAGACUGCAUCGCUAGAAUUGUGGAGAGGUAAGUGGAAUUCCGAGUGUAGAGGUGAAAUUCGUAGAUAUUUGGAAGAACACCAGUGGCGAAGGCGACUUACUGGACACAUAUUGACGCUGAGGUGCGAAAGCGUGGGGAGCAAACAGG